AAACAAUAACACUGGAACACCUGGUUAACACGUUAGAUGAUAUGUACAGUUGUAAAUUGUGGUUUUAAUAGUUGCUCACUGGGGGACUUAAAAGGGUCUCAUUGUUCUGUUUGGCAGAUAUUAAAAAAAAAAUCAGGGACUACUUGGGAUUUAAAAGCCACGCACGUGAUUCCAAUGCCACUCAGCUCAUGAAAUUUAAUCACUGGACCCCACUGGUGGCAGUUUCUACAGGGGAGACCCAUGGCCACAUGGUGGGGUUUUCAAGUUCUCCAAAGUCAUCGUCCAGCUUCAAGUCUAAAGAAAUCCAUUCAUUUCUUAUUGCUAAGAAAACAGGGAAGAUUUUUACAUCUAAACACGAAGGUCCUGUGUGCUGGGCCUCAUCACCCGGAGAGAGAGGCUGCGCCCGGCUUCCCAGUCCCUGGCAUCCUGCAGGCUGCAGGCAGUGAGGUUCAGGAACAGGUUCUGACUUCCUGGCAUUUCUUCUGGAAACUUCUUGGGACCCUCCUGUGUCUCCUAAAGAAAGGCUUGAGUCAAAGGGCAAGACUGCCCUACUAGGCAGGGGACAUUCAGAUGCCAGCGCCUCCCUGACUAUGAAGGGACUGACAGAGAGGCUACUGAGUCUUCCUCAUGACAGCCAAUUGUCAGUUUUAUCCCCCAACUCCCAGCCCCAGGCCUCACAACUAGUGGGUCUGCAUUCCUCACACACAGUGGGUCUGCAUUCCUCACACACAGUGGGUCCAGUUCCUCCCACACAGUAGGUGCCUGUUGCCUGGCAAGCACCAGUGCCCAGUGGUUGCUGAAUGACUCUGUCGGAGCGCUCUGCCUUGCUCCCUGUCGGGGCCUGCGUCUGUCAUGUCUUUUCCAGUUGAGCUUGCAGGGAAGGUCAGCAGAUCCUCUCACAUCCCGCUGAGACAAGAAGUUCGGCGUGCAGGAGCAAGGCAGUCAGACUAGAAGGGCAGCUCGUUCUGUGAGAGGUAUUGUCGGGGUGAAGCUGCUCACAAAAGCCCUAAUAGUUGCUGGACUGACCGCCAAAAUUGAUGUGACUUCCAUCAUCACAGCAGGGAAGGCCCCUGCACACCUGUGUGGCCUCCGUUUGCAAUUCCUAGUUCCCAAAAACUACAUCUCCACUGCCCAGCGUCCUCUUCCUGGCUGCCAUGUGGAGGGAGAUGUGGAAGCUCACCGAGGUCUGGGACCUGCCCGUGCCAAGCCAAAGCCCACCGUCCUGGGCCAUUUUCACCUCUACAGAAUUUCAAACAUUAAAAAAUAUGUAUUGUGUGGUUUAGAUGUUUAAAUUCUUACUGUUCGUUCUGUGUCUUAGAUUUUGCUAUGAGGAACUGAAGUUUUAAUGGUGAUGUCAGAUGGAGAAUAUGUCUCCUUUUGCUUAAAGGUUUCACUCUUACAACCAUGGAAGAUUCUAUGCUCAGCUUCCGGCGAGACUAACAGUGACAGAGGAAUCACAAAUACAGCUCAGAAUGCAGAGUUGAGGCAUGGAACGCACAUGGGUUGACAGCCACGCUGAGGACGCAGCUCAGCCUUGUGGCUGACCCUCAGCCCGGGAGCUCCAGAUGGGCAUUUCCUGGUUCCUGGAGGAGCCGCACUCACAGGCAACUGGACACCGGCCUUCUUGGUGCUUCCCUUUCUCAGAGAGCAACAAACAAUGCAACGGCAAAGCUCUGCAGACACCCCGGAAGCAACACUGCUCCCUGCUGUGGGAAAAGGCUGUGGCAAUGUUGGGCUUCACACCUACCAGGGUCAGCCCCCGGACUGCACAGAUGUCAGCCUGUGGGAGGCUUGGCUAUUCUGAGAGCCUGGGCACAAGCUUGUGGUGACUACAGUCCUGGGCCCUGGAGGGCCACAGCUGUCAACUGUAGGAACUUUACUUGAACUCUUCCUUCCCCACAUCCUCAUCUCUACAUUUCUGGUAAUAAUGUUACCCGAAAGGGUAAAUGAAACCAACUAUCUGAAACCGACAGCAAG
rnacentral:lncRNA from 1 species